UUAAAAUUUAUUAAAUAACCGUUUAUUUAAUAUACAGUAGUGUUUGCUAUUAUAAAUAAUUUUAAUCAAAAUAAAACAAACCACUGCUGCGGGCGUUCACGUCAUAGGAUACGGGCCAAUCACGCUUUGGUGUAGAAGGAGACACGACGUGACGUAUUGAUGGAUGUAAUCAAAAUUAACAAGUGCACCUGGUUCGGAUGAACUGCAGAGACAGCCAGAUACGUGGGGAUUCCUGCGCACGGAGACCAGGUAGAAGAGUGCGUCAGAGUACUCUGCUGAAACAAACAAAACAAAAACGACAACAAAGAAACAAAAAAAAAAAAAAGAAAAAAGAAAAAA